CAAAACAUAGCUUAAAAUAAAGCCCCCUGCUUACACCAAGGGAAUGUCUCCUAAUCUAGACUGUUUUGUGA
rnacentral:tRNA from 1 species